rnacentral:lncRNA from 1 species
UGCGUUAUUUUAUUUUUGAAAAUGCUUCACGAAAUCAAAUUACUAAUAGAGGUCAUAAAUGUCCUGCUCCUGCAUUUUCUUAAUCAUCCCACUUCUCUCAAAAUUCUCUGAAAUCCCUUAUACUUCUUCUGGUCCCGUUUUCAUAAUAAUCGUUGUUGGACAUGUUAACGCAACCAUUUGUGACAGCGAAUACUAGAUGUCAAGAACGCCGAGAGAAUGCCGAGAGAAACGACAUACAGUAAUGCCGUUUCUCUCGCCAGAAAAAAAAAACAAAAGAUUUUUUUAAAACUUAAAAAGUUAAAAGGCCGGUAUAAAAGGAAAAAAAAAAUGCUGACUCUCUCUCCCUCCUCUCCCACGCUCGCUGGUACUCCUUCUCUUCCCCUCCUUUCGCUCACUACUCUUCUCCUUCACUCACUCUCUACCACUCCUCGUCUCCUCCUCUCGCUCGCUACUACUCCAGAUCUACUCGGUGGUCACUGGUCGUCGGUGGUCGCUGCUCGCGGUGCUCGGUGGUGCUGCUCGGUCUCAUCGUCUCUCUCUGUUUCCCUCCUCUCCCUCGCUCGCUGCUACUCCAGAUCUACUCGGUGGUCGCUGGUCGGUGCUCGGUGGUGCUGCUCGCCUCUCUCCAUCAACCAUGUUCAAUUUUAAUAUAUAUUUUAAACGGUUGUUGGAUUAUUUUUGUCUGGAACUAGAACCAUUAGUUGAAUACAUGUGGUGGUGCCUUAUUGACAACCGAGGUUUGAUUCGCCUUCAAAAUUUGAUCUUUAUCAGAAAUUUCCGAACUUUGAGCCUAGAUUUGCACGCUGGAUGGUGGUUUAUUGAUAGUUGAGGUUUGAUUUGCAUGGAAAAUUGCAGAUUUACCGGCAUUCUGGGUAUGGUUUUUUAUGCUAGGUGGUUCUGAAAGUUUUUUGGUAUAUUGCCGGUUGGGUAUAAAUUUUUUUUGGUAAUUAGUUCGUGAAAAUUGUCGGUUGCUAUAUGUAUUACACUUGGUAAUUAUUUGGUGAAAAUUUCUGGUUGGGUAUACAUUUUUGUUUGUAAUUACUUGUGAAAAUACAUGUUCAUUGUUGAAAAUACAAUUGUGCAAUUACAUGUUUAUCACUGUAAUUAGUUAGAUAAGCCAAAUAUAAGCGAAAUGCUAGAAAAACUUGUUCGAACAAAAUAUAAGUCAAACAUCAAUCACAUUCAUUGUUGUCUUUAUUACGUUGUUGAUGUAGCAAAUGUUGGAAACUUUUACUUGCAAAUCCUUCGUACGACAUCAAAUGAGAAGGAUAAUGUGGUUGCAAAGCAUACGUCGGGAGUGUUUGCUGUAAUAUAUAAAAAAAUUAAAACAUGAUAUGAGAUUUUAGAAAUUAAAAAAUAUAAGUAUACAAAAUAAUUAAUAUUCGUAUUAAGAAUAAAUUAUUAUAAAUUUUUACAAAAUUUGGAUCCACCAAUAAUUUAAUCCAUCAUAUUCUAAAAAUUUAAAUUAAAAAAAUAAUAAAUCGAACACAAAAUUUAAAUUAAAAAAUUCUAAAUCGAAACAAAAUUUAAAUUAAAAAAUUCUAAAUCCCACCCAUCAUUUAAAUUAAAAAACUUCUAAAUAAAAAGAUUUCUAAAUCAAACACAACAUUUAUAUUAAAAGAAAUUCUAAAUCCAACACAAAAUUUAAAUUAAAAAUUUCUAAAUCAAAUUUAUCAUUAUUUGAUUUCUAAAUAAAAUUUUCUAAAUCAAAAUUUCAUUAUCAUAUAACAAAAAAUAAUAGAAUAAAUAAAAAAUCACUCUUUACCAGCUGGGUGUUUUACUUCAAGCUGGUGAUGAACUACUCCUGCUAGGCUGCUAAUGCCGUUUUCCUGCUUCUAAAAUGAGAAAAAAAACCCAACUCAAUCCUUUCACGUGAAUGAGCAAAUACUCCUGGCUCCUGCCCUAAUGCCGCUCUCUCUACUUGUGAAAGAGAGAAAAAUCUCAACUCAAUUAGUGCUUUUCGACAGUUAGAAUCAAAUGUGGGGGACAAAGAGUAGAAAAUGUGGAAAAAGCAAAAGUAGCAAGAAAAAACAAAAGGGACAAAAGUUCACGUGGUGGGGGGUGGGGCCGUUUCUCUCGGCAUUCUCUCAGCAUUCUCGCUGAGAAGCAUUUUCCUUUGUCUUUUUGGUCGACUUUAACAUGAUUUAGAGCUUUUGAACGCGUCUUCCAAGUGCAGAUGCCGAGUAUAUCGACUGUUCGAUGAAAUGCCCAUUUGAAUAAUUUGAGGAUCCACGAGGCCACGCCACUGGUAUUUAGGAUGCGUUUGGGAUUGAGGUUGGGCAGCUGUAGCUUAAAAGCCACAGCACUAAAGUGUUUGGUAAACACUAGCUGUUGUAACUUUU